GACGAACGCUGGCGGCGUGCUUAACACAUGCAAGUCGAACGAGACGAUUGAAAGCUUGCUUUCGAAAGUCGAGUGGCAAACGGGUGAGUAACGCGUAAACAACCUGCCUUUGAGAUGGGGACAACAGUUCGAAAGGACUGCUAAUACCGAAUGUUGUAUAUUUUCCACAUGGAAGAUAUAUUAAAGAUGGCCUCUAUUUAUAAGCUAUCGCUCAAAGAUGGGUCUGCGUCUGAUUAGCUGGUUGGUGGGGUAACGGCCUACCAAGGCGACGAUCAGGAGCCGGUCUGAGAGGAUGAACGGCCACAUUGGGACUGAGACACGGCCCAGACUCCUACGGGAGGCAGCAGUGGGGAAUCUUCCACAAUGGACGAAAGUCUGAUGGAGCAACGCCGCGUGAGUGAAGAAGGGUUUCGGCUCGUAAAGCUCUGUUGUCGGGGACGAAUGUGCAGUAUUUGAAUAAAGUACUGUAAUGACGGUACCUGACGAGGAAGCCACGGCUAACUACGUGCCAGCCGCCGCGGUAA
rnacentral:rRNA from 1 species